GCGGUGUUGUUUCUCAGUGAUGAGAAAAAUGAGAGGGAGGCGGUGGAAUCUUUUAAUAGUAUGGCGGUAGAAUAAUGGAGUUGUAAACAAGAGGUGGUGUCGAGUUGUAAACAUAAGGAGGAAGGCGUAAAAGAGAUGGUGAAGGUGGAGGUGGAGGUGGAGACUAGUAAAUGUAAGGAGGAGAAGGUGAUGGAGAUGGUGGAGGUGGUGACUUGUAGACAUAUGGUGGAGGUGAUGGGGAAAAUGGUGGAGGUGGGGACUUGUAGACAUAUGGUGGAGGUGGUGAGAGAGAUGGUGGAGGUGGAGACUUGUAGACAUAUGGUGGAGGUGGUGAGGGAGAUGGUGGAGGUGGAGACUUGUAGACAUAAGGAGGAGGUGGUGAGGGAGAUGGUGGAGGUGGUGAUUUGUAAACAUAAGGUGGAGGUGGUGAGGGAGAUGGUGGAGGUGGGGACUUGUACACAUAGGGUGGAGGAGGUGAGGGAGAUGGUGGAGGUGGUGACUUGUAGAUGUAAGGAGGAGGUGGUGAGGGAGAUGGUGGAGGUGGUGACUUGUAGGUGUAAGGUGGAGGUGGUGAGGGAGAUGGUGGAGGUGGUGACUUGUAGGUGUAAGGUGGAGGUGGUGAGGGAGAUGGUGGAGGUGGGGACUUGUACACAUAGGGUGGAGGAGGUGAGGGAGAUGGUGGAGGUGGUGACUUGUAGAUGUAAGGAGGAGGUGGUGAGGGAGAUGGUGGAGGUGGAGACUUGUAGACAUAUGGGGGAGGUGGUGAGGGAGAUGGUGGAGGUGGAGACUUGUAGACAUAUGGUGGAGGUGGUGAAAGAGAUGGUGGAGGUGGGGACUUGUACACAUAGGGUGGAGGUGGUGAGGGAGAUGGUGGAGGUGGGGACUUGUACACAUAGGGUGGAGGAGGUGAGGGAGAUGGUGGAGGUGGUGACUUGUAGAUGUAAGGAGGAGGUGGUGAGGGAGAUGGUGGAGGUGGAGACUUGUAGACAUAUGGGGGAGGUGGUGAGGGAGAUGGUGGAGGUGGAGACUUGUAGACAUAUGGUGGAGGUGGUGACUUGUAGAUGUAAGGAGGAGGUGGUGAGGGAGAUGGUGGAGGUGGUGACUUGUAGGUGUAAGGUGGAGGAGGUGAAGGAGAUGGUGGAGGUGGUGAUUUGUAAACAUAAGGUGGAGGUGGUGAGGGAGAUGGUGGAGGUGGUGACUUGUAGAUGUAAGGAGGAGGUGGUGAGGGAGAUGGUGGAGGUGGAGACUUGUAGACAUAUGGUGGAGGUGGUGAGGGAGAUGGUGGAGGUGGAGACUUGUAGACAUAUGGAGGAGGUGGUGAGGGAGAUGGUGGAGGUGGAGACUUGUAGACAUAUGGGGGAGGUGGUGAGGGAGAUNNNNNNNNNNNNNNNNNNNNNNNNNNNNNNNNNNNNNNNNNNNNNNNNNNNNNNNNNNNNNNNNNNNNNNNNNNNNNNNNNNNNNNNNNNNNNNNNNNNNAGGUGAAGGAGAUGGUGGAGGUGGGGAUUUGUAGAUGUAUGGAGGAGGAGGCGAAGGAGAUGGUGGAGGAGGUGACUUGUAGAUGUAAGGAGGUGGUGGUGAGGGAGAUGGUGGAGGUGGGGACUUGUAGACAUAGGGUGGGGGAGGUGAGGGAGACGGUGGAGGUGGGGACUUGUAGACAUAAGGAGGAGGUGAUGACGGAGAUAGUGGAGGUGGGGACUUGUAGACAUAAGGUGGGGGUGGUGAGGCAGAUGGUGGAGGUGGCGACUUGUAGACAUAGGGUGGUGGAGGCGAAUGAGAUGGUGGAGGUGGAGAUUUGUAGAUGUAAGGAGGAGGUGGUGAAGGAGAUGGUGGAGGUGGGGACUUGUAGGCAUAGGAUGGUGGUGAUUGAUAUGGAUGAGGUGGUGACCUGUAAACGUAUGGUGGUGCUCUUGAAGGUGUUUCCGGUUUCUUCCCAUAAUAUGGUUGUGGAGCAUUAUAAGGCUUAUCAUCAUUAGCAGCUACAUUGUUGAUGAUCAACAAGCACAACGCCAAUGCAUAAGCAAGGCAUGGCCAAAUUUUGGCCAUCUUAGUCAAAGUUAGAGCACUGAAAUUCUCUCAACUUCGUUUUUCUUAAGAUGUAUCACCUUUCUCUAUGUGUGGAUGAAAUGUUCAAGACAACCUACGAUUUAUAUAGUCACCCUUCCAAUAUUUUUUUAAAAUUUUAAUGCUUUAUGAUGCACCCAAACUCUCCACCAAACCAAAUAAUUGAAGAUUAUAUAUUCCCUCGACAUUUAUUAAUUUAUUGAGGAAUUUGUAGUUAUACCCCACUAAUUUGGAUACAAACCUUGAAUCGGUCCAAUAAAGUUGUAAAUAAAUCAUUCCCAAUUGUAUUUUAUACCUUAUUAUACAUAUAAUUUGUUCUUGUAAGAUGUGCAACUCUUAAAUGUUCAAUAUUUGAUAUAUGGGAAGCACCUUGUCAUCACGUUCAUAAUUUAAUAGUUUUUAAUAAUGUUUUUUUUUUCAUUUGAUUAUGCAAGAAGUCAAUGCUUUACAUCGUGUUAAAAAAUUGUAGAGAACCGAAACAUCUCCUAUCCAUUAAAUAAUGUAAAAAACACAAAAAUAUUUUCAUUUUUAAGGGUAAAUUAUAUAAAUUGUAUUCAUUCUUGUUCUGGUCACUUGCCUUUAAAUUGAUAAUGUGCAUAAUAACAUGUCAUUUUUCUGACUGAUAUAAUAACACAUUUAGUCAUCAAUAUUCACAUGUUCUAUCAAUUUGAUCUUUAAUCAAUAUAACAUUUCACAUUAACAAAUUUUAUCAAUUUGAUUCUCACACUUUCUAAUCGAAGCUAUCAGAAAGCUUUGACAAUAGAGGUAUUCCAAAACCCAAAAAAGAAAAAAAAAAUCUUCAAUCAUGCAAAUAUAACAUACUUUACUGGGUUUGUUAGGAAUUAUACUAUAUUAGAAUUUUAGUUUCUGGAUCAUUUAAAUUUUUACUUGUCCUUGUAUUUGAUGGUUACCCAAUUUAAAUCUUUAAAGUUGGAUGACCAAAACAGGAACGUAAGCAUAGUUGAGUAUUCAUUUGUAUAGUAUACAUUUUUUUUAUCAAAAGAGAUAAAAGAACAUUUUAACCCGUAUCUAUGGAUAAGAGUUUUAAUCAAGAAAUUUUAUUGUUCACUUGAGAAAAGAAAAAGUAUAUCACAUUAUAUCAAAAUUUCUAAUACUAUAUCAAUAUAAAAAAAUUUAACAUUUAUCAAAAUUUCUAAUGUUUUAAUUAAAAUUUUCGAUAUAUAUAUUUGCAUGAGCACAUGCUAGAAAUUUUAACACAUAAUUUUUUUAUAAUAUAUAAACAUCGAUAAUAGAUUGAAUGUGAGUUUAAGAAUGAUAAUUUUUAGAAUUGACUCGACUCGACCUAUGAACAAAUAAUAAUUGCUUCUCUUUUUCGUAUUUUGCCAAAAUUCAUUUUUUAUACCUAAUAUUUUAUUCCGACAUUCUAAAUAUCGGACAGCUAUUUUUAUUUUAAAGAACAAUAUUCUCAUCUAUGGAUAGAUCUAAUCUCAAUUUUUUAAUUGCAAAAUAAUUGAAAUUUUCCAACUUUGUUGUGCAUAUAAAUAUAUAUUUGGGAUAUUCAUGAAUAUAUAUUUAUGAUAUUUUUUAUUUUCCGUUUAUAUUGGGUCAAUUUACUACUUAAAGAUGAAAAUGAAUUGGUCAACUAAAUAGGAAGGUAUCUAAAUGUUGGAAAUGCAAAUGUAAAUGGUAAGCGAAGUCAACACUACUUCCAUUGCCUGACAAUAACUUAGGUCUAAAUCCAAUCAUGAUAUACACUAAUAAUAUCCAAUAAUUAUCUCAAUAUUGUUGAUUGAGCCUUAACUCGAUUGACAUGAACAUUAUUGUUAAUAUAGAAACACGUGAGUUUAAGUGCGUUUAAGUGCAUUAUCCUCCUAUUUAUGGGUUGAGAUGAGGUACGAAUAGUUUUAAGUAUUGUGUCAAAAAGAACAUAUAUCGCCAGAAUCUAUAACGAGAUUUUCAAAAAAAAUGAUUAUCUCAAUACUUAUAUUAUUAUUUAAAAUUUUGAUUGAAUUGAGAUAUUUUAUGUCUAUUUUAGCUCCACGUUCGAAAUUUAUGAUUAUCUUUCUUAAUAAAACAGUCUUAAAAAUUUGAACCUUUGUCAUUAAACCAAUAACUUGAUUAAUGUAACUUUAGCUUUUGAUAAUGAAUAUUCUAUCUCUGUCAAGCAUUUUUUUUGCCCACGUUCGUGUGAAUCUGGACGAAUCUAGAUAUCUGUUUGUUUAGGAAUUUUCUUUUGCUCAUUUUGUCUAAAUUCAUUAUGUACGUUAAUAUUAAAAAAUUUUAAAAACUAUCUAAAACUCAUAAAAUACAUUAAAACAAAAUUAUAAAGCACUAUAAAAGUUAUUGAAAAUAUUUAUAUAUUGUCAUUUUAAUAAUUUUUAUAAAUUUUAAACUAUUUUAUUAUCAUUUUUAGGAUUCUUUAUAUAAUUUUUAAAAAUAAUUUAUAAUUUUUAAUAAUUACGUCCACAAAGAACCUGAAAAAAUGAAUUUGGACGUUUUUAUGUCCAAGCACAGGCUAGACAUGUAUUUUAAAAAAAUUAUUUUUUUAGAAAUUUUUAAAAUUUGAAAAAUAUAUGUUGACUCGGUCAAUAUAUUUUCAUGUGGCAUACCACAUAUCAUCUUCACGUUGCUUUCGUCAAUCAUGUCAAUGUCCAUUAACAGUUAAAUUGAUCGAUGACAGUUUUUAAUUGUUUACAAAAAGAAUCUAAUUGAUUUUUUUUUAUCACUAUGAACUUAAUUGAUUUAAUUUUUUCAUAAGAUUUAAUUUUUUUCCUUGUACUAUAACAUACUUCCAAAGGAAGAAUCCAGGUUUAAAUCUUAAAGACAACAUUAUUGAGAGGGAUAACUACAAAUCCCGAACAUAAAUUGUAAAACUGAUAAUAUUGUAGUUCAUUGAGAAAUUUCUUUUGUCACGAUUUUGUCUAAUCCAGGGCCACGUAGACAAACUAAUCCACCUCAUCUCCCGCAUUGGAUUUCACCUUAAAUGGAAAAAAAUGGCACCGUUAACAAUUUUAUUAAAACAUUCAACUAAAGAAAAUACAUGGACUUAUAGCAAAAUUAGACCUAAUUUCUGUUAUAGUAUAGUUUAAGGUUUAAUAACGCCAAAAGAAAAAAACCAUAAACCUUAAUCUUGGGAUAAAGUUGGAUAUUACAAUUACAUUUAUUUUCUCCUCUCUAUAAGUUUAAAUAAUGAAAUUCAAGCUCGAUUGACAUAGAUGCAAUUGCAACAAUAAAAAGAACAUGCGCUCAAAUCCUUUUAUGAGUUAAAGGUUUGAGGGUAUGAGUAUAAGUUGACGUUGAAUCAAAAAAAGUGAAUCUCUUAUCAUUGAUAUUGCUAUUUUUUAAAAAAAGUCAUUGAUUAUUACAUUUCUCCUUUAGAAUUAUUUUAAAUUAAUUGUAAUAAAAUCAAAUUCAGUUUGGGUGUAUAUUGCUUGGGUUGGUGCAUAAUUUUAGAGUACAAAAAAAAAAAACAUUAGGUUAAGCAAUUUGAUGGUGCUUAGAAUUUAAAGAGAGGAUUUGUUAAUUAAUUAAUUAACAUCACAAAAUUCAAUAAGUUUGAAAUAAGAAUGGUAGAAGGAAAGGGGAGUAAAAGCAACAUAAUUAAAUGAAGAAAAGAUAAAUGAAAUAAAUGGAAAAUAUAUUAUGAAGUAAACAAUUACAAAGUAAAACCUCAACGCUUGAUAAAGAUAUCAAUGUAUCAAUUGUAACAAUAUAUAUUACUCAAAAACAAUCAAGAAAUCAUUCGAUGAUUUUCCACAUCAAUUUAUUUCUUCUCUUUAUUUUUCCAACUGUGAGAAACAUCCGUGUUAAUUUCAAAUAAAGGGCACGAGCAAGAAUUUCAAAGAAAGGGAAAUUGUUCCAAGAAACUAUAAUUUAGUUUCCUUGAACUUAGAAAAACAUUUGAUUUGGUUGAAUAAUGGUGUCGAUAUUGGCUUUUAGAGAUGCGGAAAAGGAAAUGAAGAUGGAGGAAAUGUAACUUUUUAGUAAUAUGGAGGUGGAGGCUUGUAGACAUAAGGUGGAGGAAGAGAAGGAGAAGGUGGAGGUGGAGGUGGAGGUGGGGACUUGUACACAUAUGGUGGAGGAGGUGAAGGAGAUGGUGGAGGUGGUGACUUAUAAAUGUAAGGAGGAGGUGGUGAGGGAGAUAGUGGAGGUGGAGACUUGUAAACAUAAGGUGGAGGAGGUGACAGAGAUGGUGGAGGUGGAGACUUAUAAACAUAAGGAGGAGGAGGUGAAGGAGAUGGUGGAGGUGGUGAGGAAGAUGGUGGUGGUGGAGACUUGUAAACAUAAGGAGGGGGAGGUGAAUGAGAUGGUGGAGGUGGGGACUUGUUAACAUAGGGUGGAGGUGGUGAGGGAGAUGAUGGAGGUGGGGACUUGUAGAUAUAAGGUGGAGGAGGUGAAGGAGAUGGCGGAGGUGGAGACUUGUAGACAUAGGGUGGAGGAGGAGAGGGAGAUGGCAGAGAUGGGGACUUGUAGAUAUAAGGUGGAGGAGGUGAAGGAGAUGGCGGAGGUGGAGACUUGUAGACAUAGGGUGGAGGAGGAGAGGGAGAUGGCAGAGAUGGGGACUUGUAGACAUAGGGUGGGGGAGGUGAGGGAGAUGGCGGAGGUGGAGACUUGUAAACAUAGGGUGGAGGAGGUGAGGGAGAUGGUGGAGGUGGUGACUUGUAGACAUAAGGUGGAGGUGAGGGAGAUGGCGGAGGUGGAGACUUGUAGACAUAGGGUGGUGGAGGAGAGGGAGAUGGCGGAGGUGGAGACUUGUAUACAUAGGGUGGAGGAGGAGAGGGAGAUGGCGGAGGUGGAGACUUGUAGACAUAGGGUGGAGGUGGUGAAGGUGAUGGUGGUGGUGGGGACUUGUAGACAUAGGGUGGAGGUGGUAAAGGUGAUGGUGGUGGUGUAGACCUGUAAAUAUAAGGAGGAGGUGGAGAGGGAGAUGGUGAAGGUGGAGACUUGUAGACAUAAGGCGGAAGAGGUGAAGGAGAUGGUGGAGGUGGUGACUUGUAGGCAUAAGGAGN
rnacentral:lncRNA from 1 species